rnacentral:rRNA from 4 species
CAGGUUUACCUGUGUGACUGCGUACCUUUUGUAUAAUGGGUCAGCGACUUAUAUUCUGUAGCAAGGUUAACCGUAUAGGGGAGCCGUAGGGAAACCGAGUCUUAACCGGGCGUUAAGUUGCAGGGUAUAGACCCGAAACCCGGUGAUCUAGCCAUGGGCAGGUUGAAGGUUGGGUAACACUAACUGGAGGACCGAACCGACUAAUGUUGAAAAAUUAGCGGAUGACCUGUGGCUGGGGGUGAAAGGCCAAUCAAACCGGGAGAUAGCUGGUUCUCCCCGAAAGCUAUUUAGGUAGCGCCUCGUGAAUUCAUCUCCGGGGGUAGAGCACUGUUUCGGCUAGGGGGCCAUCCCGGCUUACCAACCCGAUGCAAACUGCGAAUACCGGAGAAUGUUAUCACGGGAGACACACGGCGGGUGCUAACGUCCGUCGUGAAGAGGGAAACAACCCAGACCGCCAGCUAAGGUCCCAAAGUCAUGGUUAAGUGGGAAACGAUGUGGGAAGGCCCAGACAGCCAGGAUGUUGGCUUAGAAGCAGCCAUCAUUUAAAGAAAGCGUAAUAGCUCACUGGUCGAGUCGGCCUGCGCGGAAGAUGUAACGGGGCUAAACCAUGCACCGAAGCUGCGGCAGCGACGCUGAUGCGUUGUUGGGUAGGGGAGCGUUCUGUAAGCCUGUGAAGGUGGCCUGUGAGGGUUGCUGGAGGUAUCAGAAGUGCGAAUGCUGACAUAAGUAACGAUAAAGCGGGUGAAAAGCCCGCUCGCCGGAAGACCAAGGGUUCCUGUCCAACGUUAAUCGGGGCAGGGUGAGUCGACCCCUAAGGCGAGGCCGAAAGGCGUAGUCGAUGGGAAACGGGUUAAUAUUCCCGUACUUGGUGUUACUGCGAAGGGGGGACGGAGAAGGCUAUGUUGGCCGGGCGACGGUUGUCCCGGUUUAAGCGUGUAGGUGUGUGUUCCAGGUAAAUCCGGUUCACUUUAACACUGAGGCGUGAUGACGAGGCACUACGGUGCUGAAGCAACAAAUGCCCUGCUUCCAGGAAAAGCCUCUAAGCAUCAGGUAACAUCAAAUCGUACCCCAAACCGACACAGGUGGUCAGGUAGAGAAUACCAAGGCGCUUGAGAGAACUCGGGUGAAGGAACUAGGCAAAAUGGUGCCGUAACUUCGGGAGAAGGCACGCUGACACGUAGGUGAAGUGAUUUACUCAUGGAGCUGAAGUCAGUCGAAGAUACCAGCUGGCUGCAACUGUUUAUUAAAAACACAGCACUGUGCAAACACGAAAGUGGACGUAUACGGUGUGACGCCUGCCCGGUGCCGGAAGGUUAAUUGAUGGGGUCAGCGCAAGCGAAGCUCCUGAUCGAAGCCCCGGUAAACGGCGGCCGUAACUAUAACGGUCCUAAGGUAGCGAAAUUCCUUGUCGGGUAAGUUCCGACCUGCACGAAUGGCGUAAUGAUGGCCAGGCUGUCUCCACCCGAGACUCAGUGAAAUUGAACUCGCUGUGAAGAUGCAGUGUACCCGCGGCAAGACGGAAAGACCCCGUGAACCUUUACUAUAGCUUGACACUGAACAUUGAGCCUUGAUGUGUAGGAUAGGUGGGAGGCUUUGAAGCGUGGACGCCAGUCUGCAUGGAGCCGGCCUUGAAAUACCACCCUUUAAUGUUUGAUGUUCUAACGUGGACCCGUGAUCCGGGUUGCGGACAGUGUCUGGUGGGUAGUUUGACUGGGGCGGUCUCCUCCUAAAGAGUAACGGAGGAGCACGAAGGUUGGCUAAUCCUGGUCGGACAUCAGGAGGUUAGUGCAAUGGCAUAAGCCAGCUUGACUGCGAGCGUGACGGCGCGAGCAGGUGCGAAAGCAGGUCAUAGUGAUCCGGUGGUUCUGAAUGGAAGGGCCAUCGCUCAACGGAUAAAAGGUACUCCGGGGAUAACAGGCUGAUACCGCCCAAGAGUUCAUAUCGACGGCGGUGUUUGGCACCUCGAUGUCGGCUCAUCACAUCCUGGGGCUGAAGUAGGUCCCAAGGGUAUGGCUGUUCGCCAUUUAAAGUGGUACGCGAGCUGGGUUUAGAACGUCGUGAGACAGUUCGGUCCCUAUCUGCCGUGGGCGCUGGAGAACUGAGGGGGGCUGCUCCUAGUACGAGAGGACCGGAGUGGACGCAUCACUGGUGUUCGGGUUGUCAUGCCAAUGGCACUGCCCGGUAGCUAAAUGCGGAAGAGAUAAGUGCUGAAAGCAUCUAAGCACGAAACUUGCCCCGAGAUGAGUUCUCCCUGAGACUUAGAGUCUCCUGAAGGAACGUUGAAGACGACGACGUUGAUAGGCCGGGUGUGUAAGCGCAGCGAUGCGUUGAGCUAACCGGUACUAAUGAACCGUGAGGCUUAACCUUACAACGCCGAAG